UUACCGCGGCUGCUGGCACGAAGUUAGCCGGUGCUUAUUCUGUUGGUAACGUCAAAACAGCAAGGUAUUAACUUACUGCCCUUCCUCCCAACUUAAAGUGCUUUACAAUCCGAAGACCUUCUUCACACACGCGGCAUGGCUGGAUCAGGCUUUCGCCCAUUGUCCAAUAUUCCCCACUGCUGCCUCCCGUAGGAGUCUGGACCGUGUCUCAGUUCCAGUGUGACUGAUCAUCCUCUCAGACCAGUUACGGAUCGUCGCCUUGGUAGGCCUUUACCCCACCAACUAGCUAAUCCGACCUAGGCUCAUCUGAUAGCGUGAGGUCCGAAGAUCCCCCACUUUCUCCCUCAGGACGUAUGCGGUAUUAGCGCCCGUUUCCGGACGUUAUCCCCCACUACCAGGCAGAUUCCUAGGCAUUACUCACCCGUCCGCCGCUGAAUCCAGGAGCAAGCUCCCUUCAUCCGCUCGACUUGCAUGUGUUAGGCCUGCCGCCAGCGUUCAAUCUGAGCCAGGAUCAAACUCUC
rnacentral:rRNA from 1 species